rnacentral:rRNA from 1 species
UACGUAGGGAGCAAGCGUUGUUCGGAUUUACUGGGCGUAAAGGGCGCGUAGGCGGCGCGGUAAGUCACUUGUGAAAUCUCUGAGCUUAACUCAGAACGGCCAAGUGAUACUGCAGUGCUAGAGUGCAGAAAGGGCAAUCGGAAUUCUUGGUGUAGCGGUGAAAUGCGUAGAUAUCAAGUGGAACACCAGUGGCGAAGGCGAGUCCCUGGAAAACUCCUGACACUGAGGCACGAAAGCUAGGGGAGCAAACAGG